rnacentral:rRNA from 1 species
UCAGUCGACUCCUACGGGGAGGCAGCAGUGGGGGAAUAUUGCACAAUGGGCGCAAGCCUGAUGCAGCCAUGCCGCGUGUAUGAAGAAGGACCUUCGGGUUGUAAAGUACUUUCAGCAGUGAGGAAGGUGGAUAUGUUAAUAGCAUAUUCAUUUGACGUUAGCUGCAGAAGAAAGCACCGGCUAACUCCGUGCCAGCAGCCGCGGUAAUACGGAGGGUGCGAGCGUUAAUCGGAAUUACUGGGCGUAAAGCGCAUGCAGGUGGUUUGUUAAGUCAGAUGUGAAAGCCCGGGGCUCAACCUCGGAAUUGCAUUUGAAACUGGCAAACUAGAGUACUGUAGAGGGGGGUAGGAAUUUCAGGUGUAGCGGUGAAAUGCGUAGAGAUCUGAAGGAAUACCGGUGGCGAAGGCGGCCCCCUGGACAGAUACUGACACUCAGAUGCGAAAGCGUGGGGAGCAAACAGGAUUAGAUACCCUGGUAG